rnacentral:rRNA from 1 species
UACGUAGGGACCAAGCGUUGUUCGGAUUUACUGGGCGUAAAGGGCGCGUAGGCGGCGUGGUAAGUCACUUGUGAAAUCUCUGAGCUUAACUCAGAACGGCCAAGUGAUACUGCUGUGCUAGAGUGCAGAAGGGCAAUCGGAAUUCUUGGUGUAGCGGUGAAAUGCGUAGAUAUCAAGAGGAACACCUGAGGUGAAGACGGGUUGCUGGGCUGACACUGACGCUGAGGCGCGAAAGCCAGGGGAGCAAACGGG